AUGGUAUGGAACGGAGGGUCUCCAUCUAUUCUAACAGGUGCUAAUGCCACUAAACAAGGCCCUCCUAUACGCCCAGCUGGGCGUGUCAAGGCUGCCACUCCCCCAACAGUGGUUAACCCUGUUCAGGUGAUUAAUAAAUAUAUGCUUUCUGCACAUCGGCCUAUCUUCUUGCAUAAGCUCUCUGCACAGGAAAUCAUGGAUCUUAAAGGUCUUAUCAUUGUUGGUCACAAUUUCUACUCCAUCCAGGAAUUCUUCAGAAUUGUUUAUGGGCAUUCCAGCAUAGACAAGUUUACCAAAGAGGAGGAGCUUGAUCUAAAAUACUUGAUUAGUGCUAAUCUAAGUAAAGAGCAAAUUGGUUUUCUUCUUUCUGAUGAUGGCUCGAGCCCCACAGUUCCGGCUCCCUCAGUUUUUAAGCGUAUAAACUCAUGCUUGCAACAGGGAGCUACCGUUUUAUCUGAAGCGGGCAUUGGGACUUCAAAGUUACCUUCCAGGCAUGACCCUCUGGCCCAGAAUAGUUUGCCUCCUGGGCCUGCCACUUUGGCCCAACUGACACAUAACAUUACCUAUGCACCGUCUCGUGUUUCUGUUUUUGACAGGUUGGAAAUGCCCGAAACUUUGAAUAUCUCUGUAUUUGAUAGAUUGGAAUGGCCAUCCAAGCAAGCUGAGCAGCACAGAACUCCCAGAUGUUCCAGAUGCCUCCUAUCCACUCACACACGUCUGCAAUGCACCAAUCGCAUUUGCUUUUUAAAAUGCUUCAGGUCAGGACAUAUCAAAAGGGACUGUACUUUUUUUUCAGCAAACUACAGUGAAUCACAGGAAGGAUAUCCGGAAGACAAUCACGCAAAAAUGGGUACCCAAAAUCAAUAUUGA
rnacentral:rRNA from 1 species